CCUACGGGUGGCUGCAGUGAGGAAUAUUGGUCAAUGGCCGGAAGGCUGAACCAGCCAUGCCGCGUGAAGGUCAGUGCCCUAUGGGCGUUAAACUUCUUUUGUGCGGGAGCAAUAAUGGUCACGUGUGGCCAGACGAUAGUACCGUACGAAUCAGCAUCGGCUAACUCCGUGCCAGCAGCCGCGGUAAUACGGGGGAUGCAAGCGUUAUCCGGAUUUAUUGGGUUUAAAGGGUGCGUAGGCUGUGAGGUAAGUCAGCGGUGAAAUGCCCCCGCUCAACGGGGUGAAGUGCCAUUGAUACUGCCUGGCUGGAAGGCGGAUGCCGUGGGAGGAAUGUGUGGUGGAGCGGUGAAAUGCAUAGAUAUCACACAGAACACCGAGUGCGAAGGCAUCUCACGAAGCCGCGAUUGACGCUGAUGCACGAAAGCGUGGGUAUCAAACAGGAUUAGAUACCCCUGUAGUC
rnacentral:rRNA from 1 species